AUUGAACGCUGGCGGCAUGCCUAACACAUGCAAGUCGAGCGGAUGAAGGGAGCUUGCUCCUGGAUUCAGCGGCGGACGGGUGAGUAAUGCCUAGGAAUCUGCCUGGUCGUGGGGGAUAACGUCCGGAAACGGGCGCUAAUACCGCAUACGUCCUGAGGGAGAAAGUGGGGGAUCUUCGGACCUCACGCUAUCAGAUGAGCCUAGGUCGGAUUAGCUAGUUGGUGGGGUAAAGGCCUACCGAGGCGACGAUCCGUAACUGGUCUGAGAGGAUGAUCAGUCACACUGGAACUGAGACACGGUCCAGACUCCUACGGGAGGCAGCAGUGGGGAAUAUUUGACAAUGGGAGAAAGCCUGAUCCAGCCAUGCCGCGUGAGUGAAGAAGGUCUUCGGAUUGUAAAGCUCAGUAAGUUGGGAGGAAGGGCAGUAAGUUUAUACCUGGCUGUUUUGACGGUACCAACAGAAUAAGCACCGGCUAACUUCGUG
rnacentral:rRNA from 1 species